UGCGUAGGCGGAUUAAUAAGUCAGUGGUGAAAUCUUUCGGCUCAACCGAGAAACUGCCAUUGAUACUGUUAAUCUUGAGUUCGGUUGAGGUAGGCGGAAUGUGUAAUGUAGCGGUGAAAUGCUUAGAUAUUACACAGAACACCAAUUGCGUAGGCAGAUUACUAGACCGACACUGACGCUGAGGCACGGAAGCGUGGGGAGCGAACAGGAUUAGAUACCCUGGUAGUCC
rnacentral:rRNA from 1 species